AAUGAACGUUGGCGGCGUGGAUUAGGCAUGCAAGUCGGACGCUCCGCAAGGGGCGUGGCGUAAGGGUGAGUAAGGCGACGGCAACCAACCCCGAGGCCGGGCCUAGCCGCUCGAAAGGGACGGGUAAUUCCCGGCGGUCUGCCCUCGGGGGCGAUCCCUCGGGGCGAGUAAAGGUAGUGAUUCCGCCUCGGGACGGGCCGUCGUGAUAUUAGCUGGUUGGC
rnacentral:rRNA from 1 species